rfam:Hymenolepis nana genome assembly, scaffold: HNAJ_contig0001550
GGCUCAGUGGUCUAGGGGUAUGAUUCUCGCUUUGGGUGCGAGAGGUCCCGGGUUUAAAUCCCGGCUGAGCCC